rnacentral:lncRNA from 1 species
AGUCUCACGGCAUUCCGAGUCCGGCGGACGAAGUGGGCCAGACCUACCCCCCAAGGCUAUAGCCCACCCGUUUUUGUGGCCUUUUCCCGCUGGACGAACUUGGCGCCCCGGCCUUCGGGCGGUUAUUUUUGGGUGCGGACUUGCCCGCGGCCUAUUUUUGGCACACGGAGGCCCCUCGCAAGGUCUUGCGGCAUUCCGAGUCCGGCGGACGAAGUAGGCCAGCCCCACCCCCCAAGGCUAUAGCCCACCCGUUUUUGUGGCCUUUUUCCGCUGGACGAACUUGGCGCCCCUGCCUUCGGACGGUUAUUUUCAGGCGCAGCUUUGCUCGCAUCCUAUUUUUGGCACACGGAGGCCCCUCGCAAAGUCUCGCGGCAUUCCGAGUCCGGCGGACGAAGUUGGCAAGCCCCACCCCCCAAGGCUAUAGCCCACCCGUUUUUGUGGCCUUUUUCCGCCGGACGAACUUGGCGCGCCGGCCUUCGGACGGUUAUUUUCGGGCGCGGCUUUGCCCGUGGCUUAUUUUUGGCACACGGAGGCCCCUCGCAAAGUCUCGCGGCAUUCCGAGUCCGGCGGACGAAGUUGGCCAGCCCCACCCGCCAAGGCUAUAGCCGACCCGUUUUUGUGGCCUUUUUCCGCUGGACGAACUUGGCGCCCCGGCCAUCGGGCAGUUUUUUUUGGGCGCGGCUUUGCCCGCGGCCUAUUUUUGUCACAAGGAGGCCCCUCGCAAAGUCUCACGGCAUUCCGAGUCCGGCGGACGAAGUGGGCCAGACCUACCCCCCAAGGCUAUAGCCGACCCGUUUUUGUGGCCUUUUUCCGCUGGACGAACUUGGCACCCCGGCCAUCGGGCAGUUAUUUUUGGGCGCGGCUUUGUCCGCAGCCUAUUUUUGGCACACGGAGGCCCCUCGCAAAGUCUCGCGGCAUUCCGAGUCUGGCGGACGAAGUUGGCCAGCCCCACCCCCCAAGGCUAUAGCCCACCCGUUUUUGUGGCCUUUUUCCGCUGGACGAACUUGGCGCGCCGGCCUUCGGACGGUUAUUUUUGGGCGCGGCUUUGCCCGCGGCUUAUUUUUGGCACACGGAGGCCCCUCGCAAAGUCUCGCGGCAUUCCGAGUCCGGCGGACGAAGUUGGCCAGCCCCACCCCCCAAGGCUAUAGCCCACCCGUUUUUGUGGCCUUUUUCCGCUGGACGAACUUGGAGACCUGGCCUUCGGGCGGUUAGUUUUGGGCGCGGCUUUGCCCGCGGCAUAUUUUUGUCCCACGGAGGCCCCUCGUAAAGUCUCGUGGCAUUCCGAGUCCGGCGGACGAAGUUGGCCAGCCCCACCCCCCAAGGCUAUCGCCCACCCGUUUUUGUGGCCUUUUACCGCUGGACGAACUUGGCGCCCCGGCCUUCGGGUGGUUAUUUUUAGGCGCGGCUUUGCCCGCAGAUUAUUUAUGGCACACGGAGAUCCCUCGCAAAGUCUCACGGCAUUCCGAGUCCGGCGGACGAAGAUGGCCAGCCCCACCCCCCAAGGCUAUAGCCCACCCGUUUUUGUGGCCUUUUUCCGCCGGACGAAUUGGGCGCCCCGGCCUUCGGGCGGUUCUUUUUGGGCGCGGCUUUGCCCGCGGCCUAUUUUUGGCACACGGAGGCCCGUCGCAAAGUCUCGCGGCAUUCUGAGUCCGGAGGACGAAGUCGGCCAGCCCCACCCCCCAAGGCUAUAUCCCACCCGUUUUUGUGGCCUUUUUCCGCUGGACGAACAUGGCGACCCGGUCUUCGGGCGGUUAUUUUUGGGUGCGGCUUCGCCCGUGGCCUAUUUUUGGGAUACGGAGGCCCCUCGCAAAGUCUCGCGGCAUGCCGAGUCCGGCGGACGAAGUGGGCCAGCCCCACCCCCCAAGGCUAUAGCCCACCCGUUUUUGUGGCCUUUUUCCGCUGGACGAACUUGGCGCCCCGGCCUUCGGGCGGUUUUUUUUGGGCGCGGCUUUGCCCGCGGCCUAUUUUUGUCACAAGGAGGCCCCUCGCAAAGUCUCACGGCAUUCCGAGUCCGGCGGACGAAGUGGGCCAGACCCACCCCCCAAGGCUAUAGCCCACCCGUUUUUGUGGCCUUUUUCCGCUGGACGAAUUUGGCGCCCCGGCCUUCGGACGGUUAUUUUCGGGCGCGGUUUUGCCCGCGGNNNNNNNNNNNNNNNNNNNNNNNNNNNNNNNNNNNNNNNNNNNNNNNNNNNNNNNNNNNNNNNNNNNNNNNNNNNNNNNNNNNNNNNNNNNNNNNNNNNNNNNNNNNNNNNNNNNNNNNNNNNNNNNNNNNNNNNNNNNNNNNNNNNNNNNNNNNNNNNNNNNNNNNNNNNNNNNNNNNNNNNNNNNNNNNNNNNNNNNNNNNNNNNNNNNNNNNNNNNNNNNNNNNNNNNNNNNNNNNNNNNNNNNNNNNNNNNNNNNNNNNNNNNNNNNNNNNNNNNCCCGUUUUUGUGGCCUUUUUCCGCUGGACGAACUUGGCGCCCCGGCCUUCGGGCGGUUAUUUUUGGGCGCGGUUUUGCCCGCGGAUUAUUCACGGCACACGGAGAUCCCUCGCAAAGUCUCACGGCAUUCCGAGUCCGGCGGACGAAGUGGGCCAGCCCCACCCCCCAAGGCUAUAGCCCACCCGUUUUUGUGGCCGUUUUCCGCCGGACGAACUUGGCGCCCCGGCCUUCGGGCGGUUAUUUUUGGGCGCGGCUUUGCCCGCGGCCUAUUUUUGGCACACGAAGGCCCGUCGCAAAGUCUCGCGGCAUUCCGAGUCCGGCGGACGAAGUCGGCCAGCCCCACCCCCCAAGGCUAUAGCCCACCCGUUUUUGUGGCCUUUUACCGCCGGACGAACUUGGCGCCCCGGCCUUCGGGCGGUUAUUUUUGGGCGCGCCUUUGCCCGCGGCNNNNNNNNNNNNNNNNNNNNNNNNNNNNNNNNNNNNNNNNNNNNNNNNNNNNNNNNNNNNNNNNNNNNNNNNNNNNNNNNNNNNNNNNNNNNNNNNNNNNCCCGUGUUUGUGGCCUUUUUCCGCAGGACGAACUUGGCGCCCCGGCCUUCGGGUGGUUAUUUUUCUGCGCGGUUUUGCCCGCGGCCUAUUUUUGGCACACGGAGGCCCCUCGCAAAGUCUCGAGGCAUUCCGAGUCCGGCGGACGAAGUUGGCCAGCCCCACCCCCCAAGGAUACAGCCCACUCGUUUUUGUGGCCUUUUACCGCUGGACGACCUUGACGCCCCGGCCUUCGGGCGGUUAUUUUUGGGCGCGGUUUGCCCGCGGCCUAUUUUUGGCACACGGAGGCCCCUCGCAAAGUCUCGCGGCAUGCCGAGUCCGGCGGACGAAGUGGGCCAGCCCCACCCCCCAAGGCUAUAGCCCACCCGUUUUUGUGGCCUUUUACCGCUGGACGAACUUGGCGCCCCGGCCUUCGGGUGGUUAUUUUUAGGCGCGGUUUUGCCCGCGGAUUAUUCACGGCACACGGAGAUCCCUCGCAAAGUCUCACGGCAUUCCGAGUCCGGCGGACGAAGAUGGCCAGCCCCACCCCCCAAGGCUAUAGCCCACCCGUUUUUGUGGCCGUUUUCCGCCGGACGAACUUGGCGCCCCGGCCUUUGGGCGGUUAUUUUUGGGCGCGCCUUUGCCCGCGGCCUAUUUUUGGCACACGAAGGCCAGUCGCAAAGUCUCGCGGCAUUCUGAGUCCGGCGGACGAAGUCGGCCAGCCCCACCCCCCAAGUCUAUAUCCCACCCGUUUUUGUGGCCUUUUUCCGCUGGACGAACUUGGCGCCCCGGCCUUCGGGCAGUAAUUUUUGGGCGCGGCUUCGCCCGCGGCCUAUUUUUGUCACACGGAGGCCCCUUGCAAAGUCUCGCGGCAUGCCGAGUCCGGCGGACGAAGUGGGCCAGCCCCACCCCCCAAGAUUAUAGCCCACCCGUUUUUGUGGCCUUUUACCGAUGGACGAACUAGGCGCCCCAGCCUUCGGGGGGUUAUUUUUAGGGGCGGCUUUGCCCACGGAUUAUUUAUUGGACACGGAGAUCCCUCGCAAAGUCUCACGGCAUUCCGAGUCCGGCGGACGAAGUUGGCCAGCCCAACCCCCCAAGGCUAUAGCCCACCCGUUUUUGUGGCCUUUUUCCGCUGGACGAACUUGGCGCCCCGGCCUUCGGGCGGUUAUUUUUGGGCGCAGUUUUGGCCGCGGCCUAUUUUUGGCACACGGAGGCCCGUCGCAAAGUCUCGCGGCAUGCUGAGUCCGGCGGACGAAGUCGGCCAGCCCUACCCCCCAAGGCUAUAGCCCACCUGUUUUUGUGGCCUUUUUCCGCUGGACGAACAUGGCGACCCGGCCUUCAGGCGCUUAUUUUUGGGUACGGCUUCCCCCGCGGCCUAUUUUUGGGACACGGAGGCCCCGCGCAAAGUCUCGCGGCAUUCCGAGUCCGGCGGACGAAGUUGGCCAGCCCCACCCCCCAAGGCUAUAGCCCACCCGUUUUUGUGGCCUUUUUCCGCUGGACGAACUUGACGCCCCGGCCUUCGGGCGGUUAUUUUUGGGCGCGGUUAGCCCGCGGCCUAUUUUUGGCACACCGAGGCCCUUCGCAAAGUCUAGCGGCAUGCCGAGUCCGGUGGACGAAGUGGGCCAGCCCCACCCCCCAAGGCUAUAGCCCACCCGUUUUCGUGGCCUUUUACCGCUGGACGAACUUGGCGCCCCGGCCUUCGGUUGGUUAUUUUUAGGCACGGCUUUGCCCGCGGAUUAUUUAUGGCACACGGAGAUCCCUCGCAAAGUCUCGAGGCAUUCCGAGUCCGGCGGACGAAGUCGGCCAGCCCCACCCCCCAAGGCUAUAGCCCACCCGUUUUUGUGGCCUUUUUCCGCCGGACGAACUUGGCGCCCCGGCCUUCGGGCGGUUAUUUUUGGGCGCGGCUUUACCCGCGGCCGAUUUUUGGCACACGGAGGCCCCUCGCAAGGUCUUACGGCUUUCCGAGUCCGGCUGAUGAAGUUGGCCAGCCCCACACCCCAAGGCUAUAGCCCACCCGUUUUUGUGGCCUUUUUCCGCUGGACGAACUUGGCGCCCCGAACUUCGGGCGGAUAUUUUUGGGCGCGGCUUUGCCCGUGGCCUAUUUUUGGCACACGGAGGGCCCUCGCAAAGUCUCGCCGUAUUCCGAGUCCGGCGGACGAAGUUGGCCAGCCCCACCCCCCAAGGCUAUAGCCCACCCGUUUUUGUGGCCUUUUUCCCCUGGACGAACUUCGCGCCCCGGCCUUCGGGCGGUUAUUUUUGGGCGCUGCUUUGUCCACGGCCUAUUUUUGGCACACGGAGGUCCCUCGCAAAGUCUCGCGGCAUUCCGAGUCCGGCGGACGAAGUGGGCCAGCCCCACCCCCCAAGGCUAUAGCCCACCCGUGUUUGUGGCCUUUUUCCGCAGGACGAACUUGGCGCCCCGGCCUUCGGGUGGUUAUUUUUCUGCGCGGCUUUGCCCGCGGCCUAUUUUUGGCACACGGAGGCCCCUCGCAAAGUCUCGCGGCAUUCCGUGUCCGGCGGACGAAGUUGGCCAGCCCCACCCCCCAAGGCUAUAGCCCACCCGUUUUUGUGGCCUUUUUCCGCUGGACGAACUUGGCGUCCCGGCCUUCCAGCGGUUAUUUUUGGGCGCGGCUUUGCCCGCGGCCUACUUUUGGCACACGUAGGCCCCUCGCAAGGUCUUGCUGCUCUCCGAGUCCGGCUGAUGAAGUUGGCCAGCCCCACACCCCAAGGCUAUAGCCCACCCGUUUUUGUGGCCUUUUUCCGCUGGACGAACUUGGGGCCCCGGACUUUGGGCGUUUAUUUUUGGGCGCGGCUUUGCCCAUGGAGUAUUUUUGGUACACGGAGGCCCCUCGCAAAGUCUCGCCGUAUUCCGAGUCCGGCGGACGAAGUUGGCCAGCCCCACCCCCCAAGGCUAUAGCCCACCCGUUUUUGUAGCCUUUUUCCGCCGGACGAACUUGGCGCCCCGGCCUUCGGGCGGUUAUUUUUGGGCGCGCCUUUGCCCACGGCCUAUUUUUGCACACGGAGGCCCCUCGUAAAGUCUUGCGGCAUUCCGAGUCCGGCGGACGAAGUUGGCCAGCCCCACCCCCCAAGGCUAUAGCCCACCCUUUUUUGUGGCCUUUUUCCGCUGGACGAACUUGGCGCCCCGGCCUUCGGGCGGAUAUUUUUUAUCGCGGCUUUGCCCGCAGCCUAUUUUUAGCACACGGAGGCCCGUCGCAAAAGUCUCACGGCAUUCCGAGUCCGGCGGACGAAGUUGGCCAGCCCCACCCCCCAAGGCUGUAGCCCACCCGUUUUUGUGGCCUUUUUUCGCUGGACGAACUUGGCGCCCCGGCCUUCGGGCUGUUAUUUUUAGGCGCGGCUUUGUCCGCUGCCUAUUUUUGGCACACGGAGGCCCCUCGCAAAGUCUCGCGCCAUUCCGAGUCCGGUGGACGAAGUGGGCCAGCCCCACCCCCCAAGGCUGUAGCCCACCCGUUUUUGUGGCCUUUUUUCGCUGGACGAACUUGGCGCCCCGGCCUUCGGGCGGUUAUUUUUGGGCGCGGCUUUGCCUACGGCCUAUUUUUGGCACACGGAGGCCCCUCGUAAAGACUCGCGGCAUUCCGAGUCCGGCGGACGAAGUGGAGCAGCCUCACCCCCCAAGGCUAUAGCCCUCCCGUUUUUGUGGCCUUUUUCCGCUGGACGAACUUGGCGCCCCGGCCUUCGGGCAGUUAUGUCUGGGUGCGGCUUUGCCCGCGGCCUAUUUUUGGCACACGGAGGCCCCUCACAAAGUCUCACGGCAUUCCGAGUCCGGCGGACGAAGUUGGCCAGCCGCACCCCCCAAGGCUAUAGCCCACCAGUUUUUGUGGCCUUUUUCCGCUGGACGAACUUGGCGCCCCGGCCUUCGGGCGGUUAUUUUUGGGCGCGGUUUGCCCGCGGCCUAUUUUUGGCACAUGGAGGCCCCUCGCAAAGUCUCGCGGCAUGCCGAGUCCGGCGGACGAAGUAGGCCAGCCCCACCCCCCAAGGCUAUAGCCCACCCAUUUUUGUGGCCUUUUACCGCUGGACGAACUUGGCGCCCCGGCCUUCGGGUGGUUAUUUUUAGGCGCGGCUUUGCCCACGGAUUAUUUCUGGCACAUGGAGAUCCCUCGCAAAGUCUCACGGCAUUCCGAGUCCGGCGGACGAAGAUGGCCAGCCCCACCCCCCAAGGCUAUAGCCCACCCGUUUUUGUGGCCUUUUUCCGCCGGACGAACUUGGCGCCCCGGCCUUCGGGCGGUUAUUUUUGGGCGCGGCAUUGCCUGCGGCCUAUUUUUGGCACACGGAGGCCCCUCGUAAAGACUCGCGGCAUUCCGAGUCCGGCGGACGAAGUGGGCCAGCCUCACCCGCCAAGGCUAUAGCCCAACCGUUUUUGUGGCCUUUUUCCGCUGGACGAACUUGGCGCCCCGGCCUUCGGGCGGUUAUGUCUGGGUGCGGCUUUGCCCGCGGCCUAUUUUUGGCACACGGAGGCCCCUCGCAAAGUCUCACGGCAUUCCGAGUCCGGCGGACGAAGUUGGCCAGCCCCACCCCCCAAGGCUAUAGCCCACCCGUUUUUGUGGCCUUUUUCCGCCGGACGAACUUGGCGCCCCGGCCUUCGGGCUGUUAUUUUUGGGCGCGCCUUUGGCCGCGGCCUAUUUUUGGCACACGGAGGCCCGUCGCAAAGUCUCACGGCAUUCUGAGUCUGGCGGACGAAGUCGGCCAGCCCCACCCCCCAAGGCAAUAGCCCACCCGUUUUUGUGGCCUUUUUCCGCUGGACGAACUUGGCGCCCCGGCCUUCGGGCAGUAAUUUUUGGGCGCGGCUUCGCCGGCGGCCUAUUUUUGGCACACGGAGGCCCCUCGCAAAGUCCCGCGGCAUGCCGAGUCCGGCAGACGAAGUGGGCCAGCCCCACCCCCCAAGAUUAUAGCCCACCCGUUUUUGUGGCCUUUUACCGCUGGACGAACUUGGCGUCCCGGCCUUCGGGUGGUUAUUUUUAGGCGCGGCUUUGCCCGCGGAUUAUUUAUGGCACACGGAGAUCCCUCGCAAAGUCUCACGGCAUUCCGAGUCCGGCGGACGAAGUUGGCCAGCCCAACCCCCCAAGGCUAUAGCCCACCCGUUUUUGUGGCCUUUUUCCGCUGGACGAACUUGGCGUCCCGGCCUUCGGGCAGUAAUUUUUGGGCGCGGCUUCGCCCGCGGCCUAUUUUUGACACACGGAGGCCCCUCGCAAAGUCCCGCGGCAUGCCGAGUCCGGCGGACGAAGUGGGCCAGCCCCACCCCCCAAGAUUAUAGCCCCCCCGUUUUUGUGGCCUUUUACCGCUGGACGAACUUGGCGCCCCGGCCUACGGGUGGUUAUUUUUAGGCGCGGCUUUGCCCACGGCCUAUUUUUGGCACACGGAGGCCCCUCACAAAGUCUCGCGGCAUUCCUAGUCCGGCGGACGAAGUUGGCCAGCCCCACCCCCCAAGGCUAUAGCCCACCCGUUUUUGUGGCCUUUUUCCGCUGGACGAACUUGGCGUCCCGGCCUUCCAGCGGUUAUUUUUGGGCGCGGCUUUGCCCGCGGCCUACUUUUGGCACACGUAGGCCCCUCGCAAGUUCUUGCUGCUUUCCUAGUCCGGCUGAUGAAGUUGGCCAGCCCCACACCCCAAGGCUAUAGCCCACCCGUUUUUGUGGCCUUUUUCCGCUAGACGAACUUGGCGCCCCGGACUUUUGGCGGUUAUUUUUGGGCGCGGCUUUGACCGUGGAGUAUUUUUGGUACACGGAGGCCCCUCGCAAAGUCUCGCCGUAUUCCGAGUCCGGCGGACAAAGUUGGCCAGCCCCACCCCCCAAGGCUAUAGCCCACCCGUUUUUGUGGCCUGUUUCCGCCGGACGAACUUGGCGCCCCGGCCUUCGGGCGGUUAUUUUUGGGCGCGCCUUUGCCCAUGGCCUAUUUUUGCACACGGAGGCCCCUCGCAAAGUCUCACGGUAUUCCGAGUCCGGCGGACGAAGUUGGCCAGCCCCACCCCCCAAGGCUAUAGCCCACCCGUUUUUGUGGCCUUUUUCCGCUGGACGAACUUGGCGCCCCGGCCUUCGGGCGGUUAUUUUUUAUCGUGGCUUUGCCCACAGCCUAUUUUUAGCACACGGAGGCCCCUCGCAAAGUCUCGCGGCAUUCCGAGUCCGGCGGAN